UACGAAGGGGGCUAGCGUUGCUCGGAAUCACUGGGCGUAAAGGGUGCGUAGGCGGGUUUUUAAGUCAGAGGUGAAAUCCUGGAGCUCAACUCCAGAACUGCCUUGGAUACUGAGAAUCUUGAGUUCGGGAGAGGUGAGUGGAACUGCGAGUGUAGAGGUGAAAUUCGUAGAUAUUCGCAAGAACACCAGUGGCGAAGGCGGCUCACUGGCCCGAUACUGACGCUGAGGCACGAAAGCGUGGGGAGCAAACAGG
rnacentral:rRNA from 1 species